UGGGGAAUAUUGCACAAUGGGCGCAAGCCUGAUGCAGCCAUGCCGCGUGUAUGAAGAAGGCCUUCGGGUUGUAAAGUACUUUCAGCGAGGAGGAAGGCGGUAAGGUUAAUAACCUUAUCGAUUGACGUUACUCGCAGAAGAAGCACCGGCUAACUCCGUGCCAGCAGCCGCGGUAAUACGGAGGGUGCAAGCGUUAAUCGGAAUUACUGGGCGUAAAGCGCACGCAGGCGGUCUGUCAAGUCGGAUGUGAAAUCCCCGGGCUCAACCUGGGAACUGCAUUCGAAACUGGCAGGCUAGAGUCUUGUAGAGGGGGGUAGAAUUCCAGGUGUAGCGGUGAAAUGCGUAGAGAUCGGGAGGAAUACCGGUGGCGAAGGCGGCCCCCUGGACAAAGACUGACGCUCAGGUGCGAAAGCGUGGGGAGCAAACA
rnacentral:rRNA from 1 species